rnacentral:rRNA from 1 species
GUCGAACGAGCUGUGAAUUUUCGGAUGCAGCUUAGUGGCGGACGGGUGAGUAACGCGUGGGUACCUGCCUCACACUGGGGGAUAACAGUUAGAAAUAGCUGCUAAUACCGCAUAAGUCCGCAUGGAAAAAACUCCGGUGGUGUGAGAUGGACCCGCGUCUGAUUAGCCAGUUGGCGGGGUAACGGCCCACCAAAGCGACGAUCAGUAGCCGGCCUGAGAGGGUGAACGGCCACAUUGGGACUGAGACACGGCCCAAACUCCUACGGGAGGCAGCAGUGGGGGAUAUUGCACAAUGGGGGAAACCCUGAUGCAGCGACGCCGCGUGGAGAAGAAGGUUUUCGGAUUGUAAAUCCUGUCGUUAGGGACGAUAAUGACGGUACCUAACAAGAAAGCACCGGCUAACUACGUGCCAGCAGCCGCGGUAAAACGUAGGGUGCAAGCGUUGUCCGGAAUUACUGGGUGUAAAGGGAGCGCAGGCGGGAAGACAAGUUGGAAGUGAAAACCAUGGGCUCAACCAUGAAUUGCUUUCAAAACUGUUUUUCUUGAGUAGUGCAGAGGUAGAUGGAAUUCCCGGUGUAGCGGUGGAAUGCGUAGAUAUCGGGAGGAACACCAGUGGCGAAGGCGGUCUACUGGGCACCAACUGACGCUGAGGCUCGAAAGCAUGGGUAGCAAACAGGAUUAGAUACCCUGGUAGUCCAUGCCGUAGACGAUGAUUACUAGGUGUUGGGGGAUGACCCCUCAGUGC